rnacentral:lncRNA from 1 species
UUUUUGAUUGUCUCCUUUGUGUGGCGGUCGGGCGCGCAUGAUGGUUAACUCCUACCAACCUCCCCCCUAGGGGCAUGGAUAGUAGUACUUUUCUUCGAGGGCUAAUUAGACUUUUGCCAUAAGUAUGUUAGUUCUUUAUGACUAAUGUGAAUCCAUGGAUUAUAUGCACUCCUAUCUUUUUGUAUUUUGCUAGCCUCUUCAGUACCGUGCCAUGCCCU